rnacentral:rRNA from 1 species
GAUGAACGCUGGCGGCGUGCCUAAUACAUGCAAGUCGAGCGAACAGACGAGGAGCUUGCUCCUCUGACGUUAGCGGCGGACGGGUGAGUAACACGUGGAUAACCUACCUAUAUUACUGGGAUAACUUCGGGAAACCGGUGCUAAUACCGGAUAAUAUAUUGAACCGCAUGGUUCAAUAGUUUAAUACGGUUUUUCUGUCACUUAUAGAUUGAUCCGCGCCGCAUUAGCUAGUUGGUAAGGUAACGGCUUACCAAGGCAACGAUGCGUAGCCGACCUGAGAGGGUGAUCGGCCACACUGGAAGUGAGACACGGUCCAGACUACUACGGGAGGCAGCAGAAGGGAAUCUGCCGCAAUGGGCGAAAGCAUGACGGAGCAACGCCGCGUGAGUGAUGAAGGUCUUCGGAUCGUAAAACUCUGUUAUUAGGGAAGAAAAAAUGUGUAAGUAACUAUGCACGUAUUGACGGUAACUAAUCAGAAAGCAACGGCUAACUACGUG